rnacentral:rRNA from 1 species
AUUGAACGCUGGCGGCAGGCUUAACACAUGCAAGUCGAGCGAGCGGCGGACGGGUGAGAAAUGUCUGGGAAAAUGCCUGAUGGAGGGGGAUAACUACUGGAAACGGUAGCUAAUACCGCAUACCAUCAGAUGUGCCCAGAUGGGAUUAGCUAGUAGGUGGGGUAAUGGCUCACCUAGGCUACGAUCCCUAGCUGGUCUGAGAGGAUGACCAGCCACACUGGAACUGUGCCACGGUCCAGACUCCGACGGGAGGCAGCAGUGGGUAAUAUUGCACAAUGGGCGCAAGCCUGAUGCAGCCAUGCCGCUUGUGGGAAGAAGGCCUUCGUGUUGUAAAGCACUUUCAGCGUGGAGGCUUUACUCGCAUAAGAAUCGCCGGCUAAUUCCGUGCCAGCCGCCGCGGUAAUUC